rnacentral:rRNA from 1 species
UAACACGUAGGACGCAAGCGUUAUCCGGAAUUACUGGGCGUAAAGAGCGUGUAGGUGGUUGUGUAAGUCAACCGUGAAAGCUCCCGGCUAAACUGGGAGAGGUCGGAUGAGACUGCAUGGCUAGAGGGUCGUAGAGGAAUGUGGAAUUCCGGGUGUAGUGGUGAAAUGCGUAGAGAUCCGGAGGAACACCAGAGGCGAAGGCGGCAUUCUGGACGACACCUGACACUGAGACGCGACAGCACGGGGAGCGAACGGGAUUAGAAACCCCGGUAGUCCGUGCCGUAAACGAUGUGUGCUAGAUGUUCGGUUGGCUACGGCUGGCUGAGCGUCGCAGCAAACGCGAUAAGCACACCGCCUGGGGAGUACGGUCGCAAGGCUA